rnacentral:rRNA from 1 species
CCCAGACUCCUACGGGAGGCAGCAGUGGGGGAUAUUGCACAAUGGGGGGAACCCUGAUGCAGCGACGCCGCGUGGGUGAAGGAGCGUUUCGGCGCGUAAAGCCCUAUCGGCAGGGAAGAAGGAGGACGGUACCUGACUAAGAAGCCCCGGCUAACUACGUGCCAGCAGCCGCGGUAAUACGUAGGGGGCAAGCGUUAUCCGGAUUUACUGGGUGUAAAGGGGGCGCAGACGGCAGCGCAAGCCAGGAGUGAAAGCCCGGGGCCCAACCCCGGGACUGCUCUUGGAACUGCGCGGCUGGAGUGCAGGAGGGGCAGGCGGAAUUCCUGGUGUAGCGGUGAAAUGCGUAGAUAUCAGGAGGAACACCGGUGGCGAAGGCGGCCUGCUGGACUGCGACUGACGUUGAGGCCCGAAAGCGUGGGGAGCAAACAGGAUUAGAUACCCUAGUAAG